AAGGAAUAUUGGACAAUGGUCGCAAGACUGAUCCAGCCAUGCCGCGUGCAGGAAGACGGCCCUAUGGGUUGUAAACUGCUUUUGUACCAGAGAAAACCUAUCUACGUGUAGAUAGCUGAUAGUAUGGUAAGAAUAAGCAUCGGCUAACUUCGUGCCAGCAGCCGCGGUAAGACGAAGGAUGCAAGCGUUAUCCGGAUUCAUUGGGUUUAAAGGGUGCGUAGGCGGGCUUGUAAGUCAGUGGUGAAAUCUCUCAGCUUAACUGAGAAACUGCCAUUGAUACUGCAGGCCUAGAGUAUAGAUGACGUUGGCGGAAUAUGACAUGUAGUGGUGAAAUACUUAGAUAUGUCAUAGAACACCGAUUGCGAAGGCAGCUAACGAAACUAUAACUGACGCUGAGGCACGAAAGUGCGGGGAUCAAAC
rnacentral:rRNA from 1 species